rnacentral:misc_RNA from 1 species
UUUCCGUAGGUGAACCUGCGGAGGGAUCAUUACAAAUCCACACGUCUCUCUCUCCGAGACACCGUUGAAUUCUCUUGCGUGUUCAUUCAUUCAGUCAGUCAGUCAGUCAGUCAGUCGGCUUUUGUGUCAUCCCCGUGAUGAUCGGUCGGUUGGACAGCUGGCCGGCUGGGUGGGUGCCGCAACACCCUUAUUAAACUUUUACAACCUUCUUGUACCAACCUAAACAUCCAUAUACAACUUAUGACAAUGGAUCUCUAGGCUCUU